rnacentral:rRNA from 1 species
AACGAACGCUGGCGGCAGGCUUAACACAUGCAAGUCGAGCGCCCCGCAAGGGGAGCGGCAGACGGGUGAGUAACGCGUGGGAAUCUACCGUGCCCUACGGAAUAACGCAUGGAAACGUGUGCUAAUACCGUAUACGCCCUACGGGGGGAAAGAUUUAUCGGGGUAUGAUGAGCCCGCGUUGGAUUAGCUAGUUGGUGGGGUAAAGGCCUACCAAGGCGACGAUCCAUAGCUGGUCUGAGAGGAUGAUCAGCCACAUUGGGACUGAGACACGGCCCAAACUCCUACGGGAGGCAGCAGUGGGGAAUAUUGGACAAUGGGCGCAAGCCUGAUCCAGCCAUGCCGCGUGAGUGAUGAAGGUCUUAGGAUUGUAAAGCUCUUUCACCGGUGAAGAUAAUGACGGUAACCGGAGAAGAAGCCCCGGCUAACUUCGUGCCAGCCGCCGCAGUAA